UGGGUAAAUAAUAUCAUUCCGCUAUUCGCACCACUGUAAAAAAAUUGAUAAGCCGUUGCUGGAUUUGAGUCGAUAAAUUCACACCAAAAUAAGCUUAUGUAUGCAUAAGCUCAUAUUGUGGGAGGACGGAUGGAUGGAGAGAUGCAUCGCAAAUCUAAAUCUAAUUCGUUGUCAGUGUUCUGAUUCAGGUGAAAUGAACGAAUUCAAGCUACAUCCACUGGAUAAAUGACCCUACUCGAUAACCCCGCACAAGAAAAUGUCAUCACUACAAUUUGUCUUUAAGAGCUAAACCUUAUUUCGUCCCCCAAAUCUCGUCACCUUUCCACGCCCUCUCGUCACAUUAAUAUUUAUUUAACCGCUUAAAUAAAUAAAUCACUACAUAAUAAAUAAAUACACAUGUACUGACCAUCUCAACCGUAAAAAAUUAAUAAUACAUAAUCAGAUCAUCCUCACACAACUGCCAUGCAGAUUCAAUCCAAACCACAACAAAACGCUGUAUAAUUACAAAAUUACAAUCUCUUGCGUCACUGCCCAAAGCCAGGUUCAUGGUCAUUAUCUCAUCUCAUGCAGCCAUCCUGGUUAAACAAUUCACGGUUAAGUUUUUAUGUCCAAAAUAUCAUGUUCCUUAACCAACCAAUUUUUUAUACCGGUCUUCUUCUGACGUAAAUAUACGCCACCAGGACACCCGUCCUGGUUUACUCACGUGUGGAUUGAAUCACGCCGAAAAUUAAUAAAUUAUAAUGUGACUGACGUAUGUAAAAUCAAGUUAAAUGUCUCACCAUUUUUUUCCAAAAUGCACUCCAGUCCAAUUAAUCCAGUCUCAAUCAAACCCGGAUAAAUAAUAGUAUAUAAAUCCAUUUGGUCAAAUUUUACGAAAAUAUUACUAAGAAAUAAACAAACAAUUCGUUAAAAAA